UUUGGUAAGACCCUUGUCACGUGAGUCUCAGGCUUUGAGAAGUUCCUGCUUUUCGCCCUUACCAUGUUAGACUCAUUGCUUUAGUAAGACCCUUGUCAUGUGAGUCUCAGGAUUUAACAAGUUCAUGUUUUUCUCCCUUACCAUGUUAGACCCAGUGCUUUGGUAAGACCAUUGUCACAUGAGUCUCAGGCUUUGACAAGUUCCUGCUUUUCUCCCUUACCAUGACAGUCCUCGUGCUUUGGUAAGUCCUUUUCUUUCAGAUUUAAACACCAC
rnacentral:lncRNA from 1 species